rnacentral:sRNA from 1 species
CGCGGCCGCGGUAAUUCCAGCUCCAAUAGCGUAUAUUAAAGUUGUUGCAGUUAAAAAGCUCGUAGUUGAAUUUCGGGGUCAGUAGGUCGGUCGUGCCACAGGUAUGCACUGGUCUCACUGAUUCCUCCUUCCUGAUGAACCGUAAUGCCAUUAAUUUGGUGUUGCGGGGAGACUGGACUGUUACUUUGAAAAAAUUAGAGUGUUUAAAGCAGGCUAACGCUUGAAUACAUUAGCAUGGAAUAACGGAAUAGGACGUUCGAUCUUAUUUUGUUGGUUUCUAAGAUUGACGUAAUGAUUAAUAGGGAUAGUUGGGGGCAUUAGUAUUCAAUUGUCAGAGGUGAAAUUCUUGGAUUUAUUGAAGACUAACUACUGCGAAAGCAUUUGCCAAGGAUGUUUUCAUUAAUCAAGAACG